rnacentral:rRNA from 1 species
UUAAGUCUUGACCAAUUUACGUGCCAGCAGUCGCGGCAACACGCAGAAGACAAGUGUUAUUCAUCUUUAAUCGGUUUAAAGGGUACCUAGACAGGAAAUCAAGCCAUAGUAGGGACUAAUUUUCUAGAGUUUUAUGGAAAAAAGUCGAAUAUCUGGAGUAGAGAUAAAAUAUGUUAAUACCAGAUAGACGGGUAACGGCGUAGGCAACUUUUUAUGUAAAAACUGACGUUGAGGGACGAAGCCCUGGGUAACGAUAAGGAUUAGAUACCCCAGUAGUCCAGGGAGACAAUUAUGAGUGUCAUAAGCUAAAUAAUUUAGUUUAUAAAUGAAAGUGCAAGCACUCCACCUUAAGACUAAAGCGGCAACGCCCAAAUUGAAAUCAUUAGACCGUUCCUGAAACCAGUAGUGAAGUAUGUUAUUUAAUUCGAUGAUCCGCGAAUAACCUUACCACGUUUUGAAUACUAUUCAAUUAAUACAAGCGCUGCACGGCUGUCUUUAGUUAAUGUCGUGAGAUUUUGGUUAACUCCUUUAAUUAACGAAAACCCCUGGU